rnacentral:rRNA from 1 species
GAUGAACGCUAGCGGCAGGCCUAACACAUGCAAGUCGAGGGGCAGCACAGAAACAGCAAUGUUUUGGUGGCGACCGGCGGACGGGUGCGUAACGCGUAUGCAACCUACCUUUAACAGGGGGAUAACGGAGAGAAAUUUCCACUAAUACCCCAUAACAUCGAUCAAGGCAUCUUGAUUGGUUGAAAACUCCGGUGGUUAAAGAUGGGCAUGCGUUGUAUUAGGUAGUUGGUGAGGUAAUGGCUCACCAAGCCUACGAUACAUAGGGGGACUGGGAUGUUAGCCCCCCACACUGGUACUGCGACACGGACCAGACUCCUACGGGAGGCAGCAGUGAGGAAUAUUGGUCAAUGGGGGCAACCCUGAACCAGCCAUGCCGCGUGCAGGAAGAUGGCUCUAUGAGUUGUAAACUGCUUUUAAACAGGGAUAAAGCACAGUAUGUAUACUGUGUUGAAGGUACUGUAAGAAUAAGGAUCGGCUAACUCCGUGCCAGCCGCCGCGGUAA